CUCAGGAUGAACGCUGGCGGCGUGCUUAACACAUGCAAGUCCAACGGGGAUGCCAUUUUUGAGGCGGUUAGUUUACUAAGCGCCAAGAUGCCGGCAUCUUAGUGGCGGACGGGUGAGUAACGCGUGGGUAACCUGCCUUAUACAGGGGGAUAACACUUAAAAAUAGGUGCUAAUACCGCAUAAGCGCACGGGGCUGCAUGGCCCAGUGUGAAAAACUCCGGUGGUAUAAGAUGGACCCGCGUCUGAUUAGCUUGUUGGCGGGGUAACGGCCCACCAAGGCGACGAUCAGUAGCCGGCCUGAGAGGGUGGACGGCCACAUUGGGACUGAAACACGGCCCAAACUCCUACGGGAGGCAGCAGUUGGGGAAUAUUGGACAAUGGGGGGAACCCUGAUCCAGCGACGCCGCGUGAGUGAAGAAGUAUUUCGGUAUGUAAAGCUCUAUCAGCAGGGAAGAAAGAAAUGACGGUACCUGACUAAGAAGCCCCGGCUAACUACGUGCCAGCAGCCGCGGUAAUACGUAGGGGGCAAGCGUUAUCCGGAUUUACUGGGUGUAAAGGGAGCGUAGACGGUUACGCAAGUAUGAAGUGAAAGGCGGGGGCCCAACCCCCGGACUGCUUUGGAAACUGUGAAACUGGAGUGCAGGAGAGGUAAGUGGAAUUCCUAGUGUAGCGGUGAAAUGCGUAGAUAUUAGGAGGAACACCAGUGGCGAAGGCGGCUUACUGGACUGUAACUGACGUUGAGGCUCGAAAGCGUGGGGAGCAAACAGGAUUAGAUACCCUGGUAGUCCACGCCGUAAAC
rnacentral:rRNA from 1 species